rnacentral:rRNA from 2 species
AUGCAUGUCUAAGUACAGCUCGGUGGAGCAAUCUACCGGGUGAAACCGCAGACGGCUCAUUAAAUCAGUUGUGGUCUAAGUGGGCGACAGUUUCCUUAUUUGGAUAACUGUGGAAAAUCCAGAGCUAAUACAUGCGAAUCAAAGUCCUGAGCCAAAGCCACUUGUGGUGAUUAACUCGGGAUGCUUUUAUUAGACCGAGGCGCGCGCACCGGUGAUUUAGCUCUUCGUUUCGGCGGAGUUGCGAUCGCUUGUGUGUCGUUUGUAAGCGCUUAAAGGUGACUCUGGAUAACACCGAUAAGCGUGCCUUAAUUGGCACGCUGCCUACUUACGAGUGACUGCCCUAUCAGCUAAAACGUAUGUUAUACGCGAACGUUGGCGGUAACGGGUAACGGGGAAUCAGAGUUCGAUUCCGGAGAGGCAGCCUGAGAAACGGCUACCAC